AGUACCGCGACUCCCAUCUCAGUGUCACGGCGCAGGCUCUUGGUGGUGUUUUUCACUUGUGAAAAACGUUUAAAUAUGUGGAAGAGAGCAUAACGAACGUCUAGGUGUUUAUCACUUGGCUUAAGCAUUAUCAGUUUACCUAUUGUAUUCAUCCAUGGAUGUUUCAGAAGGAACCACCAUGUCAUCAUCACAUAGUUACUU
rnacentral:lncRNA from 1 species